UACGGAGGGGGCUAGCGUUGUUCGGAAUUACUGGGCGUAAAGCGCACGUAGGCGGCUUCGCAAGUCAGAGGUGAAAGCCUGGGGCUCAACCCCGGAACUGCCUUUGAGACUGCGUCGCUCGAAUCCGGGAGAGGCGGGUGGAAGUCCGAGUGUAGAGGUGAAAUUCGUAGAGAUUCGGAAGAACACCAGUGGCGAAGGCGGCCCGCUGGACCGGCAUUGACGCUGAGGUGCGAAAGCGUGGGGAGCAAACAGG
rnacentral:rRNA from 1 species